rnacentral:rRNA from 1 species
GAUGAACGCUGGCGGCGUGCCUAAUACAUGCAAGUCGAACGCAUUGAGAGAAGUGCUUGCACUUUUCAAUUUGAGUGGCGAACGGGUGAGUAACACGUGGGCAACCUACCUGAUAGCGGGGGAUAACGAGUGGAAACAUUCGCUAAUACCGCAUAACAAUAGAGAAGGCAUCUUCUUUAUUUAAAAGGCGCUUUCAAGAGUCACUAUCAGAUGGGCCGGCGGUGAAUUAGUGAGUUGGUGGGGUGAAGGCCUACAAAGACGAUGAUGCAUAGCCGAGUUGAGAGACUGGUCGGCCACAUUGGGACUGAGACACGGCCCAAACUCCUACGGGAGGCUGCAGUAGGGAAUCUUCCACAAUGGACGAAAGUCUGAUGGAGCAACGCCGCGUGUGUGAUGAAGGCUUUCGGGUCGUAAAGCACUGUUGUAUGGGAAGAAAUGCUAGGCUAGGAAAUGAGCUUAGUUUGACGGUACCAUACCAGAAAGGGACGGCUAAAUACGUGCCAGCCGCCGCCGUAA